UCUUUCCUUCUUUAUCUCUCUAAAAAUCGCCAAUUUCCCCUCUCUCUCUCUAAAAUAUUGUUUAUUAUUUAUUUAAUAAAUAAUAAUAAGGUUUUGCCUCGUUUUAAGUGUUUUAGCUCCCGAUCACCGCUACCCUUUCCGAUUGAUCUGAGUCCCAUAACGCAUGUCAAGGCUCUGCCCGACUAAGUUCGUUUGGAUUCGGUCUCGGACAUCAGGAUAAGGUUGAAUAAGGGGUACUAUACUUAACACGAGUGCAUUAUAUAUUUUUAUAGUUCAAAAGUUAUACCCAAAAUUUAUACCAAGAGAUUUUCUAGUUGAACCCUAAAGUUACAUAGUGGGUCCAUUCUCUUUUCUCACUGUUUUAUUCUCUUUUUAUGAUUUACCCAAAACUAUUAUUUAUUAUUUCUAUUUUGUAAACAACUUUCAUCAAAAAUCAUGCCUAUUAUUUUAUUUACCCAAUAGGGAACCAUAGUUGAAACACCCAAGUAAUCCUGCACAACUCCUAAAAUUUUCAUAGCAAUCAGAAUCAGGAUCAGGGCCCCUAAAACUCAGGGGGGGUAUUCCCCACUUGACGAUUAUCCUUAUAACUUGCUGUCUAAAUUGAAAUUAUUCGUUCCAUCGACUCAGCUAGCCUACUCCCACACGCGGCAAACCUAUGGUCAUUACGUGUCCCUUACGGACCGUAAGGGAUAAGGCUUACGGUCCGUAAGCCUGUCAAAUUUCGUGUAUAAAUAGCAGGCAUCGGCACUUGCAGUCUGCUGUUCAUUCGAUGAUUAAAUUCCGAUUAUACACCGAGUUAUCGUCCAAAUACUCUAAAAACACACACGCGAAACACUAAUUAGUAUAGCAGGGUGCUGCUACGAUACAGGGUAUUAACUCGAUCGCUAUUACGAUUCAUUUUCCAACCGAUCAAUAUAUCCAAUGGAUGUUUAAGUGCCGCCCACGAUAGGGUUAUACUUUGUCGUUCGUCGUUAAAUCGAUGGAUGUUUAAGUAUCGCACUUUGUCGUUCGUUGUGAGAAUUUGAUCUCGUGAGUUAUCGUAAUUGUUGUAUUAAGUUACCUACCUAGUUUGUGUGCACUAGGUUACAAGGCUAAAUCAAUAGGCUAAGCUCUGCCUGUAUAAAUCUGCAAUAUAUCAAGACUUAUCUGUAAACUAAACUUUGGCCGUAUGAAUCUGCAUGAUUAUAAUGUAAUUACAGUAGAUUGGAGUAAGGAUUGGAUCCGGCACUAAAAGACUUCAAGAAGUGGCUUAUUUUAUUAAUUAAAUCAAAUUAAGAAAUAUUGUUUUUAUUAAAAGCUACCUUUGUAACAAUGGAAUUUAUUCCAUCUAUUUAAAUAAAAUCCGGUGUUUCUAAACUCUAAUAUUUUUUUUCCUAACUCACGGUCCUGAUGAAAAUUCCGCUGCAAUGUUUUUCAAAAGUAAUCACCGGUACCACUGGACUGCUCUCGGCUUCCGAUUCCUGCCAGGAUGGGGUCGGGGGUCGUGACAGUAAAGGUGGUAUCAGAGCCACUGCUUUAAGCCUAUAAGUGUUGUGAUAAUAAUACUUAAGCUUAAAUAAAAAGAGUUAGGAGAUUACUGUUAAAUGGUAGCACAGCCGAUAGCAGUUAGACUUGAACAUAAGAAAAGAUGCCUUAAUAUAAGCUAAGCUACUUGUUUACACAAUUAGGUGUUAUAAUAAUACCUAAGUUUAAACGGAAAAUUAGAAGCUUAAUAUUAUCUGAUAGCAUUCCGGAUGAUAUUUAGACUUGAACUUAAGAUUUUUGCCUUAAAUAAAUUUUAAGGUAAAUUACUUAUAUAAGUACAAUGUAAUGGAUAUUGGUAUUCCAUAAAAAUGACGAUUAGCAGGCAAUAGCACGUAAUUGCUUCUUGCUUAUUGAUAUUAUUUGGUCGAGAAUAAGAUAUGUUAGGGAAGUACAAAUUUCCUUGAUUCUGGAUAAAAGUCCUAAUAAAAGAGGCACUUUUAAAAAAAUCUUGAAAAGAUACUAUUUAUGGGAAAUAGAAAAUUUUCUCCGACAAAACUGGGUAUAGAGUAGCAGACUCUCCAGCUUGUCUGGAUAUACUGAAGUUACCUCUCCGGCGCGAACCGGAUAAGACGGGGUAAAUAAUAUGUCAAAUCAGUGACAAGACUUCCCUAAAUAAAAUCAUGACCAGAUAUUUGACUUGUUUUUUGGAGAUAUGAAUCUGCUAAAUACAUUGAUCUUAUAGAAGGUAUAUAUAUUACAGCAUGUGAAAUAUAUAAUUAUAUAGAUAUGUAUAUCUAUAAGGAAUUCCAAAAGUCGAUUAGGAAUAAAACACAAGCAUAUGUGUCUAGAUUUCUUUAUUAGGAAUCUCUUUUCCGAUAUCAAACAUUAUUUCGUUUGAUCAUUUGUCUCGUAGUUCGUGUGACAAAAUAAAUAAAUUCGAACACCAUAAAAAAUAUAAGAAUUACCAAUGCGUUAUCAUAAACUAUUAACACAAGUAAGAAACAUCUAAAGUUGUGCUAAUGCACAAGAAAACACAUAAAACUUAAAUUAUAUAUAUCCACGGACAUCGAAGUUUAUCACACAUGACUUCCAAGGCAAAGACCUUUGGAAAAUAUAAAUUAGGCACGAUGACACCAAUACUAAUUCCGUC
rnacentral:lncRNA from 1 species